rnacentral:rRNA from 1 species
UACGAAGGGGGCGAGCGUUGUUCGGAAUUACUGGGCGUAAAGCGCGCGCAGGCGGCUAUCCAAGUCAGUGGUGAAAUCCUGGAGCUCAACUCCAGAACUGCCUUCGAUACUGGGAAGCUCGAGUCCGGGAGAGGUGAGUGGAACUGCGAGUGUAGAGGUGAAAUUCGUAGAUAUUCGCAAGAACACCAGUGGCGAAGGCGGCUUACUGGCCCGGUACUGACGCUGAGGUGCGAAAGCGUGGGGAGCAAACAGG